UACGAAGGGUGCAAACGUUGCUCGGAAUCAUUGGGCGUAAAGCGCACGUAGGCGGCCCGAUAAGUCGGAUGUGAAAUCCCUCGGCUCAACCGAGGACGUGCAUUCGAACUGUCGGGCUAGAGUCCGGAAGAGGCGAGUGGAAUUCCUGGUGUAGCGGUGAAAUGCGCAGAUAUCAGGAGGAACACCAAUGGCGAAGGCAGCUCGCUGGGACGGUACUGACGCUGAGGCGCGAAAGCGUGGGGAGCAAACAGG
rnacentral:rRNA from 1 species